rnacentral:rRNA from 1 species
UACGUAGGGUGCGAGCGUUGUCCGGAAUUAUUGGGCGUAAAGGGCUCGUAGCGGUUUGUCGCGUCGGAGUGAAACCUUGGGCUUAACUCAGGCUUGCUUUCGAUACGGCAGACUAGAGGUAUGCAGGGGAGAACGGAAUUCCUGGUGUAGCGGUGAAAAUGCGCAGAUAUCAGGAGGAACACCCGUGGCUAAGGCGGUCUCUAGUACGGUACUGACGCUGAGACGCGAAGCGUGGGGGGAGCGAACAGGAUUAGACUA